rnacentral:misc_RNA from 1 species
AGAAUCUUAGUGUAUAGUAGAAAUAGUCAGAUAAAGAAAUUAUAUGCUUUAGAAUGGCUGAUAUUAUCCAAAGUCUGUUUUGCAUUUAGUGGUGAGGUAUCUGGUGCAAGCUGUAGAUAUUGAUAGGAUUUUUGCUGUGGCCUUUAGUUUGGUGGCUGUUUUUAACAAAAGCUGCUUGAUGGAAUUGGCCCUUGUUUUUUUAAGGCUAGUUCCAUAGAUUAUAAAAUUUGGCAGAGUUUGGAGCGAAUAUCAAUGGUUCUUAUUUCUCAUGUAAUUUGGACUGAUGCAGCCCAAUAACCUUUAAUUUUGGGGGGCUGAGUUCUAGCUUUUCUCAUAGGCAGAUGCAUUGGAAAUUAUUCUUCUGUCGAAUAACAAUGUUUUCUUUUGCCAUCCCAAAAGAAAACAUUGUUAUUCAACCGAAGAAUAAUUUCCAAUGCUCAUGAAUAUAACUUGCCAUCCCAAAAGAAAACAUUGU